AUUGAACGCUGGCGGCAUGCUUUACACAUGCAAGUCGAACGGGGUGCGGGGGCAACUUCGCAUUCAGUGGCGAACGGGUGAGUAAUGCAUCGGAACGUGUCCCGUAGUGGGGGAUAACCC
rnacentral:rRNA from 1 species